CAGCACCUCAAGUGGUCAGGAUGAUUAUUGGGCCUAAAGCAUCCGUAGCCGGCUCUGUAAGUUUUCGGUUAAAUCUGUACGCUCAACGUACAGGCUGCCGGGAAUACUGCAGAGCUAGGGAGUGGGAGAGGUAGACGGUACUCGGUAGGAAGGGGUAAAAUCCUUUGAUCUAUUGAUGACCACCUGUGGCGAAGGCGGUCUACCAGAACACGUCCGACGGUGAGGGAUGAAAGCUGGGGGAGCAAACCGGAUUAGAGACCCGAGUAGUCC
rnacentral:rRNA from 1 species